UAGGCAGAAGCCUGUUGGUUUGGGCGUCUAGCUGUUAACUAGAAGUUUUAUGGGAUCGAAGCCCGUCUGUCUAG
rnacentral:tRNA from 1 species